GCCGCCGCCGCCGCCGGGACCGCUCGGCGGCCGCCAGCGCGGGCGGAGCCGCCGCCUGGACACAGGGCGGGGCGCGGGGCCUGACCCUCAGGGCGACCGCAGCCCGGGCCGGCGCGGGGGGCGAGCAGCCGGGCGUGGGCGCCCCGACUCUCGCCCUGCCACCCGGGAACCCCGGACACGCGACCCCGACAGCCCAGGCUCCGGCGCCCGCGAAAGACACAUCGGACCUAUUCCGAAAGACAAUUUGAUGCUGGGCCUGGGGCUGGAGGACAUGAGGCAUCAGGGGACUUGACAGGAGAUCAGUCUGGAAAGUGUCCAGGAAGAAAAGACUUCCACCAGUCACCCCAGACAAAGGGCUGUCAUGGGGGAGACUGUCUGGUAGCAGGAGGCGGAGGCAGAGGCAGCUCCGGGCAGUUGGCUGUUCCCAGAAGGCCACACGCUGCUCUUGACUUGGCUUCUUCCAGCCCUAUUGCCUGCUGGCUGGCACCUGCCCCCUUGUGUUGUCUGCCCCUCAUCACUGGCAUUCUUCAAGUUUAUACGUGGGACGCCUACCACAGCAUGGCUGCCAAGCAGUGCCGUGUCCGCACCCGGGAUCCGAACCAGCGAACCCCGGGCCGCCGAGAAGCGGAACGUGCGAACUUAACCGCUGCGCCACCGGGCCGGCCCCAUCACCUGGAAAAUUUGAAAGGAGAUUCCUACUACUUUAAAAGUACAUCUCAUUUCUGGAUCUACUCACCAUGAAUUAAUAUCUUUUUAUUAAACCUUAUAUUAUCUCAUGAAAAGUGUGAUCAUAUUGCAUUUUUUGCUACUUUCGUUAAAGGUAUUAAUGUAGACACUGAAAAUACACCACAGAUUUUGUAAUCCUGCUUUAGUGCUUAUUUUUUCAUAUUUAUAUGCCAGGAAGUGGUCCCCCAGCCUCACGUCCUUGGUCUGGUUUUAGGGUCAGCCUGUGGCUAGGCUGCUCUGGGUGGCUCAGAGGUGGAC
rnacentral:lncRNA from 1 species